UGAACAAAAACAGCUAAUUUUCCUCUGCAACUGUGACCACGCUCCGCACAGUGACAACGAACUGCAAAACUGUCCAACAGCCUACUACUGUUUUGAACAUUGUGUCGAGGAUAGCGCUGUGAACGUAACAUGUGAAAACAAAAGUGCGGAUGAUGGCUACACAGCUUUUUGUCGAUGUUCACCAGGAUUUAAGGAUGUACCCUCAUUUCAAUGCUUGGACGAGAACGAAUGUGACUUCAAUCCAUGUGGAGAAAAUUCAUUGUGUGUAAACUCUAUCGGCUCGUACACCUGCGCGUGCAAUGACGGGUACUAUCAACAGGAAACAGGACUUGACGAGCCAGCUUGUACAGACACUAAUGAAUGCGAGGAAAAUUCCACUAUCUGUGGUGAUUAUUCUGUGUGCUCCAACACGGACGGCAGCCACACUUGUUCUUGCUUCGAUGGAUACACACUGGAUACAGGGUCUGGGGUUGGCUGUGUUCUGGGUAAGGACUAUUUUUCAUUUUCAUGUGCAUUCUCGGCAGAGCGUAUUAUUUAUUGGCGAAACUUAAUGAAUGUUCCUAUCUGUUUUCCAAUGUCCCCCCCCCUCAUUUCCCCCUCCCUAGUAUUUAAUAAGCUCUUGAAUAAUUAUGAAUAUGACUGAACAUGAAUCAACGUAUCAACGCCAACCAAACCCGUCCCACCAUAAAAAACCCCCAAAAACUUCGCAAUAAAAUACUUCCGAUUCCGGAAGGCAAUUUACACAAGCCAAUGGAAAUAAAGCCACACUGACAGCAUUGGCCUUAUAGAGCAUGUUGGGAUAGAAGCUUUACAGACGUCUAGAACAUUCUGUAUAAGUGGGGCGUGGUGCAGGUGUAUAAGGGGACGAAGUUCAGGUGUAAAAAUGGGACUUGGUCCAGUGUAAACAUGGGACGUGAUUCAGGUGUAUAAGUGGGACGUGGUUCAGGUGUAUGAGGGGACAUGGUUCAGGUGUAUAAGUGAGGCGUCGUUCAGGUGUAUCAGCGGGGCGUGUUUCGAGUGUACAAGGGGACAUGAUCCAGGUGUAUAAAUGGACGUGGCAGGUGUAUAAGGGGGCGUGGUUCAGGUGUAUAAGUGGGGCGUGGUUCAAAGGUAUAAAUGA